rnacentral:rRNA from 1 species
UACAGAGGGGGCAAGCGUUGUUCGGAAUUACUGGGCGUAAAGCGUGCGUAGACGGCUAUCUAAGUCGGGUGUGAAAGCCCCGGGCUCAACCUGGGAAUUGCAUUCGAGACUGAAUAGCUAGGGUGCGGUAGAGGGAAGCGGAAUUUCCGGUGUAGCGGUGAAAUGCGUAGAUAUCGGAAGGAACAUCAGUGGCGAAAGCGGCUUCCUGGACCAGCACCGACGUUCAGGCACGAAAGCGUGGGGAGCAAACAGG